rnacentral:siRNA from 1 species
ACAAGCUAUAGUCGCCUUCUUCC